AAAAGAAUAAAGUUUUGUCCAUCUUUGUUCAUCAUAGCUGAAAGUUAGAGAAGAGAAAGGAGAGGAGAAAGCUCUUGAGUGUUCGGUCACUUGGGGAAGAAAAUUGAAGGUAAGUUCAUGGUAGUUGGCUUCUAUCUUGAUGUUCAUGAGUUCUUCUUGAUUCUACCUUAACUCUUGAAGCAUAUUUUGGUUUUUAGUUGUGUUGUGAGCAUUUAGUCAUGAAUUAAAAUGAAGGCAAAGGUUGUUGUUUCAUGUUCUUUUGAUGAAAAAAAUGGAAGAUAGGUGAAGUUGAGCCAAACAAAUGAGCAUACAUGUGCCUUAGAUGUUAAAGGGAAAAAUCAGCUAACAUGUUGUGCUUUAAAAUGAUGAAAUGGAGAUUAUUCUUAAGUAAAAUCAUAGAUAUGUGAUGAUUGAUUGGUGAUAUACAUGUUUAAAUAACAUGCAUGCAAGGUAUGUGUGAAAGAGUGAUUUGGUAAUAAAUCUGCUUAGGACAGCAGCAGUAACGUGACUUUGGAAAAUCACCAUAAACUGUGGGAGAUGAAUUAGAAGCUGAAUAAAUUAUGUAAUUAAAGCUUAUUGAGUCUAGUUUCUAAUGAAAUAAACAAGAAAAUAUUUUGAAUUCUGUACAAUGAGAAAUUUGAUUCGUAAUGAAGAGUUGUCAGAUUAGUCAAACAGUGAAACAUGGGAAACUUUGAGAAAAAUCUGGUAUUGAUUGGCUAAACUAAAAAUUCUGAAAAUUUUAUGGAUAGAAGAUAUAUGAGUCUAUUUUCAGGUAAAAUUAACAGAACUUGAUUUGGAGUUUCGUAGCUCCAGUUAUAAAUAAUUUAGUGACUAUUGCUCAGGAAGACAGUUUGCAGUGAAAUUAUGAUUAUGUGGUAAACAUUGACAAAAUUUUGUCAAUGAGUUGCUUAUUGUUUUCUUAUAAGCUUACUAUGAUCUGUAGGUGUGGUUGGUCGAAUAUUGUAAGGGGUUAAUACGUAGUUCGUAUUUGAAUAGUUAGAUUAAUGUGUUAGUAAUCCAAUUGUAGGUAGUUCGUCUGUGGAUCUCGUCAACAUAUCGUCGCAAACAGGUGUGUAACAACACCCUCUUUCUUAGUCUAGAUCGGCAAAAGCCGAAAAGCCGAAAUGCCGAAAACCGGUAUUUUGUAGAUUUGCGAGUGUGCGAAUGCUCGUGAGGUAAAUCGAUUAAUGUUUUUGGUAAGCUGCAUUGUUUGGACUGCAAAGUGCAUGAUUUCUGUGCCCUCGAUAUUUUUGGGCUUAAUGGGCCAAAAUUGGAAUGAUGGGCCAACAGGCCCAAUUCGGUAAGAACCCUCGGUACGUGAUUCUGUAGUACAUGAAAGGUAGGAAUAUGCAUGAAAAACCCUAAAAUAGAUAAAUUACUGAAAUACCUUUAAAAGUGAAAAAUUUACAGUUUUACCCCUAGGAGAUAAAUUAUCGAAAUACCCCUAGGGUUAAAUUGACUUAAAUGCAUGUUUGACUGUUGUUAUUUACUGCAUGCCAUGUUGUUAUUAUCUGAUACAUGGGACUGGGAUAUUGACGGAGGAAGUACUGAAAGUGGCUUGUCCACGUACUGGAGGCUUUGCCUCAAUUUACUGUUAACUGAGCAGCAAGGCUGCAACUGUGGAGUGUUGGGCUGGGUGGGUUGAGCUAUUCCCCACAUGGAGUGUAUGGCUGGUACGGGUGGAGUGUAGUGGUUGGUGGGUUGAGUAGUCUCCCCAAAUGGGCUUGCAUAUGUUUACUGAUGUUGCAUGUAUUUUGAAAUGGGCCUAUGGGCCAUACUGUUAUCUGAAUAAGGGGCUAAGGCCCAGUUUAUUGUAAUCUGAAAAGGGCUCUGGCCCAGUACCACUGUUACCUGAAUGGGCUUAGGCCCAAUGGGCUUGAGCUGACUUGGGCUUUGAAUGGGUUUUCCUUACACACUGAGUUUCCCCAAACUCACCCCUUUUAUUUUCAUCCACGCAGGAAAUCCCCAACCAUAAUGGGCUUGGAGCUGUGAGGGAAUUCGGAGUGGCCAUCCGUUCUGAAAGUUUGAUUUUCUUCUGGUGAACUGGACAUCCUUUUAAUUACGUUUGAGGUUUUGGGCUUUUAAAUGUAAUAAGGCCGCUUAUUUAUUUUUGUUGGUUUUUAAUAUGUAUUACUAAGAUAGGUAAUACUUAUUUUAACUGUUGAAAUUGGAUAGCUUUAGGGCGCGUUUUCAAAAACAACAGUUGAUUUCAAAAUAACACGACAACAAGCAAA
rnacentral:lncRNA from 1 species